rnacentral:rRNA from 1 species
GAUUAACGCUGGCGGCAUGCCUAAUACAUGCAAGUCGAACGGAAGCAGCAAUGCUUUAGUGGCGAACGGGUGAGUAACACGUAGGGAACCUACCUAUACGACGAGGAUAACUACUGGAAACGGUAGCUAAAACUGGAUAGGAUCAAUUGAGGCAUCUUGAUUGAUUUAAAGAUCCUUCGGGAUUACGUAGAGAUGGCCCUGCGGCGCAUUAGCUAGUUGGUGAGGUAACGGCCCACCAAGGCGACGAUGCGUAGCUGAGCUGAGAGGCUAAACAGCCACACUGGGACUGAGACACGGCCCAGACUCCUACGGGAGGCAGCAGUAGGGAAUUUUCGGCAAUGGGGGAAACCCUGACCGAGCAAUGCCGCGUGAACGAUGAAGGUCUUCGGAUUGUAAAGUUCUGUGAUUGGGGAAGAAUGGUAUUCUUAGGGAAUGAGGAGUACAUGACGGUACCCGAUUAGAAGCCCCGGCUAACUAUGUGCCAGCAGCCGCGGU